rnacentral:rRNA from 1 species
GGUAUUUACCCAGAAAGUCUCGGCUAAUUACGUGCCAGCAGCCGCGGUAAUACGUAGGUGGCAAGCGUUAUCCGGAUUUAUUGGGCGUAAAGAGAGUGCAGGCGGUUUUCUAAGUCUGAUGUGAAAGCCUUCGGCUUAACCGGAGAAGUGCAUCGGAAACUGGAUAACUUGAGUGCAGAAGAGGGUAGUGGAACUCCAUGUGUAGCGGUGGAAUGCGUAGAUAUAUGGAAGAACACCAGUGGCGAAGGCGGCUACCUGGUCUGCAACUGACGCUGAGACUCGAAAGCAUGGGUAGCGAACAGGAUUAGAUACCCUGGUAGUCCAUGCCGUAAACGAUGAGUGCUAGGUGUUGGAGGGUUUCCGCCCUUCAGUGCCGGAGCUAACGCAUUAAGCACUCCGCCUGGGGAGUACGACCGCAAGGUUGAAACUCAAAGGAAUUGACGGGGGCCCGCACAAGCGGUGGAGCAUGUGGUUUAAUUCGAAGCUACGCGAAGAACCUUACCAGGUCUUGACAUCUUGCGCCAACCCUAGAGAUAGGGCGUUUCCUUCGGGAACGCAAUGACAGGUGGUGCAUGGUCGUCGUCAGCUCGUGUCGUGAGAUGUUGGGUUAAGUCCCGCAACGAGCGCAACCCUUGUUACUAGUUGCCAGCAUUAAGUUGGGCACUCUAGUGAGACUGCCGGUGACAAACCGGAGGAAGGUGGGGACGACGUCAGAUCAUCAUGCCCCUUAUGACCUGGGCUACACACGUGCUACAAUGGACGGUACAACGAGUCGCGAACUCGCGAGGGCAAGCAAAUCUCUUAAAACCGUUCUCAGUUCGGACUGCAGGCUGCAACUCGCCUGCACGAAGUCGGAAUCGCUAGUAAUCGCGGAUCAGCAUGCCGCGGUGAAUACGUUCCCGGGCCUUGUACACACCGCCCGUCACACCAUGAGAGUUUGUAACACCCAAAGUCGGUGGGGUAACCUUUUAGGAGCCAGCCGCCUAAGGUGACAGAUUG